UUCUCUCUGUCCCUGGGUAGCGGGUGAGUCGUGGGUCCUUGCUGCGUCGCCAUGGUGUUCAGGAGUGCAUCUUGUUGGUGAUUCAGCGGAUCUCCAAAUAUCCUGUCCUUGUUCAGCGUAUUCUGGAAAAUACUGCAGUGAACGAUGAUGAAGAGGAAGCCUCUUCUAUAGCCCAGGCUAGCUUCAUGGUCAGAGAACUUCUAAGUUCAAUAGACCAACAGAUGGAGGACCUGGAAAAAACACAGCGUCUGCAAGAGAUCCAGGCCAAGCUAGACCCGCGUUCUGAAACCAGAGUGAGGGAUGGGGGACUGUUCAAGCCUUCAGAGCUGUUCCGCAGGAGACUGGUCCAUGAAGGAACCUUGUUCUGGAAAACCCCAGGAUCCCGGCUCAAAGCUAAGCAGCUAUUUGAGUAACUGAGCGAGAGAUAAAAGGAUAGAAAAGAACAAGGAAAAGAUUUUCUUCGGAGAAUCGAAUAUGGACUCA